GGCAAGGUGGCUCAGUAGGUCAGAGUGCCUGCUUUGCAAGCCUGAGGUUCUGAGUUCAAUUCCCAGGGCCA
rnacentral:tRNA from 1 species